rnacentral:rRNA from 1 species
GACGAACGCUGGCGGCGUGCCUAACACAUGCAAGUCGAGCGACGAACCGGGGCUUUUGCCGGGGCAGCGCCUGGAGCGGGUGAGUGACACAUGGGUGACCUCCCCCCAUGACUGGGACAACCCGUCUGGAGACUGGCGAAUACCUCAGGUGCCCCCUCGUGGAACGUAGGCUUCGGUCGCCACAUCGGGAUGUGCCCGCGGCGCUUGAGCUUGUUGGUCGGGUAAUGGCUUACCAAGGCGACGAUGCGUAGCCGGGCUGAGAGGACGAUCAGCCACACUGGAACUGAGACACGGCCCAGACUCCUACGGGAGGCAGCAGUGGGGAAUCUUGCACAAUGGGCGAAAGCGUGAUGCAGCAACGCCGCGUGAGGGAAGAAGGCCUUCGGGUUGUAAACCGCGCUUAGUUGGGAAGAGCCUUCGUUCGUGAAUAGAGGUUUGGAGUGACGGUACCUUCAGAAGAAGCACCGGCUAACUACGUG